rnacentral:rRNA from 1 species
UACGAAGGGGGCUAGCGUUGCUCGGAAUCACUGGGCGUAAAGCGCACGUAGGCGGCUUUCUAAGUCAGGGGUGAAAUCCUGGAGCUCAACUCCAGAACUGCCUUCGAUACUGGCGAUCUUGAGUCCGGAAGAGGUGAGUGGAACUCCUAGUGUAGAGGUGGAAUUCGUAGAUAUUAGGAAGAACACCAGUGGCGAAGGCGGCUCACUGGUCCGGUACUGACGCUGAGGUGCGAAAGCGUGGGGGAGCAAACAGG